GAAUUUCCAAAGCUAGCACUGCCACUGAGUGUGUCUGCUGACAGACCACAGCCAGAGCCUGAAGGAUGAAAGCACGUUGAAAAACAGCCUGUGUGCAGCCUGUGAUGCCAGUUUGCUCUCUGGACAGUUGUCUGGUCAUGAUACAGUUGCAUGAAUUUGGAGAAAAAAAUGUUCACAUAUGUAAAUGCUAAGAAAUGGACUAUCACGUAGGAAGGAGCCACUGUGAAAAUGAAGGUUAUACUAUUUGUAGCACCUUGACUUUCUUCAGUGCAAAGAAGAACUACUGA